GGAAACUGCCUGAUGGAGGGGGAUAACUACUGGAAACGGUGGCUAAUACCGCAUAACGUCGCAAGACCAAAGAGGGGGACCUUCGGGCCUCUUGCCAUCAGAUGUGCCCAGAUGGGAUUAGCUUGUUGGUGAGGUAACGGCUCACCAAGGCGACGAUCCCUAGCUGGUCUGAGAGGAUGACCAGCCACACUGGAACUGAGACACGGUCCAGACUCCUACGGGAGGCAGCAGUGGGGAAUAUUGCACAAUGGGCGCAAGCCUGAUGCAGCCAUGCCGCGUGUAUGAAGAAGGCCUUCGGGUUGUAAAGUACUUUCAGCGGGGAGGAAGGUGUUGUGGUUAAU
rnacentral:rRNA from 1 species